UGCAAGAGAAGCAGUAUAUCA
ensembl:piRNA 21ur-1405 ncRNA